rfam:Penicillium arizonense strain CBS 141311 PENARI_contig001, whole genome shotgun sequence.
GGUGCUAUGGUCUAGUGGUAUGACGUCACAUUGUGGCUGUGAUAGCCCCGGUUCGAUUCCGGGUAGCGCCA